rnacentral:rRNA from 1 species
GACUUCUGGUUUAAUGCACCUGGCCCGCGGCCCACAAGGCCUGUGAGUGCCGGCGCGCGUUUACCAUCCUUCCAGCAACGGCUACCCUUAACUGGGCGGCUGGAACUGGAUCUUUUACUUUGAAAAAAUUAGAGUGUUUAAAGCAGGCGUUUGCUCUGAAUACAUUAGCAUGGAAUAAUAUUGGUUUCUAUAACUGAAGUAAUGAUUGAUAGGGAUAGUUGGGGGUGCUAGUAUUGGCCGGUCAGAGGUGAAAUUCUUGGAUUCGGUCAAGACUAACUUAUGCGAAAGCAUU